AACUGGGUCCGUACAGGUCAAAUGCGACACCAUCCUGUGUGAUUUGAUUAUCCGCCUGCUGCCUCGAUGCAGCUACACCACCUCACUCUUUCAUUACAGGGGAAGCAGAGGUGGGGCGGGAAUGUGCUCAUCAUGAGGCAGUCACGGAUCUUGACUCGGUCUAGACGAGAGAUCUGAGAGUCUCCAUCCGUCAUCUUUCAGGAUCCUCCUCAUGCUUCAGUGGCGGUGGGAAGUGCACCUCUGCACAGGAAGUGUACACAGCUCCGUUUCCCAGGAGUCGCUUGGCUCAUCACCAGACGACAUUACGUUGGGCUUCAUGCUGUCAGCUGGAUGACUGAACCUGACGGAGUUCUGGUCCAGUCUUUGCUCUACACCUGCACUUGUGGUCUUCGCACUGCUGUCCGCAUGUCUUCCUUGACUGAAUGUUUGUGCCAAAUCUGGAGAAAUUCCCUUCAAGAUAUCAUGUUCAUGGGAAGGAUGAAGGAAGGAUGUACGGCCAGAUUGGCAACCUGAAAACUUAAUGCCUCCGGUAACAGUGUCAUAAAGGGCUGACACAAACUCAGGAGACCUUCAGGUAAGAUCACAGUUUUACAUUUUUUUUACUGUAAUUUUGACAAAAGUGUGUGAUAAACAUCAAUUGUCACUUUCAAACUGCACUUGAUGCAUAAUGUGUUG
rnacentral:lncRNA from 1 species